rnacentral:lncRNA from 1 species
UCCUCCCUGUCACAACAGCAUCAGUUGAAAGAUCAUUUUCAACACUGAAAAGACUGAAGACCUAUUUAAGAAAUUCAAUAGGUGAAGAAAGGCUCACUUCCCUUGCACUCUUAUCCAUACAUCGAGAUUUGCAAGUGAAGACAGAAGAAAUCAUCUGCCAAUACACAAGAACUCCAAGAAGGUUGCAGUUCCAUUAGUAGGGCACAUCUUCAUAUGUAUUACCAAUUCAGGAUUGUAUUGAAAGUAAACUUGCUAAUUUUGUGCACAUAAUAAAUGUUAUGAACGGAUAAAAAA